AAAAUUGAGUGGGUCAGUAAAACCAAUCUUUUCCAAAUCCAAACAUUUCUCAAAACGUUGUAACCCCUCUCUGUAAAACAUGUAUACUUUCCCAGAAAUGUAAAAUAUAAUUAUACAUAUAUAUUCUCAAUACUUCAACUCAUUACUCUCCACAUUUUUUCAGUACAAAUAUGACAUGCCAUAUCGGAAUUCAUCAGUUAAGUAUGAAUGCAUCAACAGUAAUUAUAUCAGGUGCAAGAAGUAAUCAACCGGAGGCCCUCUAAUAGCCCUGUACGGUUGAACCUAGAGCUCAAAAUCUAUCACUCUCACUCUGCCGGAGUCACCUCUGUGACCUGUACGGCCUUCUGCACACAAGUUACGCUCUAGUGCUUCUCUCAUCAAUCAUCUGUGCACAUAAUCUAAGGUCACCUACCAGUCGGAAUCCCUCUAACGGUCUGUACGACUGGCAUGUCGGAACCACCCCCGGUGGUCUGUACGACUAGCAUCUACUUGGAUCCAAGGCGAGCGUGCGAUGCGGUGAAUACUAUAAGCACUAAACUAUGGUGCAGGAUUUGAGCUCAAUAUACAUCAACAUCAUCAUAACAGUAAUUAAAUACUCACCUGAUAUUCACCUGUGCGUCCGCCGCACCAUUCAUUCAUAUGCAUCAUAUCUCAAUUCAUGCUUUUCAUAUCAUUUCAUGCAUGGCAAUUCGAUUCACAUUUCUAUAUACUUUUCAUAUACUUUUAUGCAUAGCAUCUCAAUUCAUAUUUUUCGUAUAAUUCUAUAUACUUUUCGCAUACUUCUAUGCAUGGCAUUUCAACUAAUAUAUCUCAUAUACUUUUAUACAUUUUCAUUUAAAAGCAUAAUUUCAUGCAUUUUCAAUUUCUGGGAAAACGGCAAGUAUUAUAUGUAUACGGAAAACAAAAACUGCCCACUCACCUGGAGUUCAUCCAACAACUCCCUAGCACCACACACAUCAAGGCGUCACGACGAUCGCCGCCUAGAAUAGUAAUCAAAUCCAACCUCAGAAUUCAUAUCGAUAGAAUAUUUAACUUAUAUAAAAUACGUCACUACGUAGUUCGAUCCGGAAGAUCUGCCACUCAGAUUUUAAAUCCAUAACUUCCAAAGGUCCACAUUAUACCUCUAGGACAACAUCCUAAAAUUUCAUUACCAUCCAACGGUUGGAUUUCCGUCAAUUUCCAAAACUAAGUGACGGUUAACAUUUUUAUAUUGUGGACUUACAAUUCCAAUUCCGGAAGAUCCGUAACUCGGAUUCCCAAUCCGUAAGUUCCAAUAAUCCUCAAAUAUUACGUAUUACAACGUAUCAAAUUUUGGUGACGAUCCAACGGUCGGAUCAUCAAUUCAUUCACAUUUUCACCUAAAUGUGAAAACUAUAAAACGUUAUUUGAACACCUAACCAACAAUCCUUAAUAACUUUCUCAUACGGUGUUCAAUUUAGGUAUAUAUGAAUAUACCACAGUGAUCUACUCGACGUCACGGACGUCGACAUAUUUUUAAAAUAAUUUUAUUUUUAUUUUUUAUUUUUACUGUAGCACCUUCUUCUUCCUUGGGUCGCCGGACUGGUUUUUCCGGCGGCCGUUUUCCGGGCAGUUUUUCAAAUUGCCAUAACUUUGUCAUUUCUCAACGAAAUCAAGUGAUUCAAAAACGAAAGUUGUAGAACUUGAAGAGACAAAGAGAAUGGUACCUUGCACAACACCUAGUUCGCCGUGGUUUGGCCGGAAACUGCCUCGAAAGCCUCGGAGGUCGCCGGAAACUGGGUAUUUUUCAAAUGAGUAUAACUUCUUCAAUACUCAACGAAAUUGAGUGAAACAAAAAGGAAAGUUGUAGUACUUGACGAGACGAAGAGAUUGAUACCUACCUCGACUCCUAACUCGCCGGGGAUUCGCCGGAAAGCCUCGAAAGCUCCGGCCAAACUUUGAACUUGUCGAUCUCCGUGUUCUUACGUCCAAAAACUUCCAACGAAGCACUCCGAGCUUCCUUGGGACCCUCACUAAGCUCACUAUGAGCUUGGAUUGUCCUAAAAAAUCAACCAAUUCAAAGCUCAUGAACAGUACACUUUCAUGGGGAGUUUAGAAUCUAGGUUUUCCGAAGUAAAACUUACCUGAAAUGGAUACCAACGUGAUCGUGAAGUCCUCAGGAUUCCAAUGGUGGUCUCAAAACUUGACGUUGGUAUAGAUUUAGGGUGGUUUUGGUGGUGGUCCGUGUGAGUUCGAAGGAGAGAGACAGAGAGAGUGAGAAAUCGUGAAGGAGGAGAGAGAAAGACAGUGAACGGGAAAUGAGGAGGGUUUUGAGGGAUGUGGGGAUCCCACGUGGUCCUUAUUCCAAUCUCCAAACACCAAACUUUAACAUUUUAACCUAAAAAUCUAAGUUCCAUCCUUAUUAAAUUCCAUUUUAUUUUUCAAACUUAGGAACCUAGAUAAUUAGCAACCUGAGCUUCACAAAUUUAGUAUUUCUUAAGGGCAAUUUCGUCCAUUCACAGCCACGAAUAUAAUAAUUUGGAACGGGCUGUGACAAUCUUCCCUCCUUAUAGAAUUUCGUCCCCGAAAUUCCAGCAACCAACCAAUUCAUCAACACUUAUACCAACCUCGGUAAGUUUCUUUCAUCCGAUUCUUUUUCUCCCACGUAAUUUUCUUCCACUGAAUGAUUCCUUCACAAAACUUUUACCAUUUACUCUAUCUUAACUCUCAGGACCUUCUUUUUCCAAUCCAAAUUCUACUUUUCUAAGGUGAACACUUCUAAAAUAUAAAACCAUUUACCUUAUAUACUCGAUUAGUGGCAUAUCCAUCUGUUGAUGUCUUUUGUCAUUCCUGGUUACUUUUAGGUUAACUUAAUCACCUGAAAUACUUUGAGGAGACUCAUCCAUAGUCUCAGGGUCUACUAAAACUCUUUCUCGAUCGAAUCUUUUCUCUACCCAGAAAUAUUCCAUUCACAAGUCAACAAAACACACACAUGACACACUUUCAUGAACCUUAUGGCUUCACUUCGGAAACUGCGCAACCAACAUACUUAAGAAACUUAGCAGUUCCGUAAUCCAAUUCUCUUUCCAUUUCCGUUUCGAAACAGAAAAUAGCUGUCUCAAUCCAAAGGGUUAUUUCUUUCUGCCUCAAUCUGCUGACCAAUAAAAAUGUCGAAUGGUAUGAUAAACCUUAUUACUUUCGGAAUAUUGCAGAAGUUGAACAGUGAACUUCGUCCAAUAUUUGCUUGCUUCAAAUCCUCAGCAUUAGGCACAUACUUUUUGUUUUCUUGUAUCCACAUACCAUUUGAUUCACGAAUCAUGUACUCAUUCUUUUUCCCUUCUUUCUCUGCCUUGGUUAAUUCUUAAAUUUCCUCGUCAAACAUUUAUGUUUCGAGUACGACCUUACCAAAAGGCCUAACUUGAAACUUAGCAAGUAUAACUUCUUCUCGAUCUUUCAUUCUUAACUUUACUUUAGUUGAUUUCCAAUCCACAAGAAGAUAAUCUUGGCAAGCGUACCAGAUAUUAAUUCUUACUGCAGUCUUCUUAUCAAGUGCUUCAGCUAGAACAAACUUUACGAUCACCCUGAUCGUACAAUCAUGUUCAUUAAGCAAUACAAUUCACUUUCGCUGCCUCAUAUCAAAAUCCUUCCAAGAAAUAGAUAUUGAAGACUUUUUGGAUUCGUAAAAAUCUUGCAUUCUUACCAAAUAUAAUGCCUUCAUAACUUCACAGCAAGAAUGAUAAUCAUGACUUCCAAGUCACCCGUAGGGUAAUUCAUCUCAUGAGGUUCCAUUUAUCGUGAAACGUAUGCAAUCACCCUAACAUUUGCAUCAACAUGCCUCCAAUACCAUUCAAGAAACAUCACUAAAAAUUUAUGAUUACCAUUAUUCUCUGGGAAUACCAAAAUACGUGCAUGAGUGAGGAAAUACUUCAGUUGUUGAAUCCUUUGCUCACAAUUUCCUUCCCACUCAUACAUAACCUCUUUUCUCAUCAGUCUCGUUAAUGACAAAGCAAUGACUAAAAAUUCUUUCACAACCAUCCAAAAUAGCCUGGUAAGCUAAGAAAUUCCAAAUCUCAAUUACGACUCGUGGUUGUUCCAAAUUCUCAAUUUCUGCUAUCCUUUAAGGAUUCACUUGAAUACCUUAAGCAGAUAUAACCAAUCUCAGAAUGCCACUUGAUUCAUCCAACAUUCGCAUUUGCUAAACUUAGCAUACAACCAACGUUCUCUCAAUCUUUACUUCAUUGACUUAAUACGUUUACAUACUCUGCUCUGGCUCAGAAUAUGCCAGAAUAUCUUCAAUGGAAAUGAUAUCAAUUUAUCAAGGCAUCAUUGGAAUACUUCAUCCAAUAACUCAUAAAACAGCAUGAGUAUCCAUAUAGCAUCACCAAACUUCAUAAAAACUAUAACAAGUCCAGAAAACCAUCUUAUGAUCAACGUCACUUAUAAUAUUCAAUUGGUAGUAACCAGAUCUCAAUUCAAUCUUUGAAUCUUCGCAAUUACUUCUGAGCUGGUUAAAUAAACAUCAGUACAUAUGGAUGGUUCUCAAUCGUUACCCGACUCCAUUAUCUAUAAUCAAGGAAAUCCAUUUUCUUUCUCAAACUGGGGCUCCUCAAAAGUGUUGUACUAGGUUGUAAUCAACUUAUCCAAACUGAACUCCAAUCCUUGAAAAUCAUCCUGAACCAAUCUCCAAAUUUCAAUAAGAUCUCCUCAACUUCCAUCAAAAUACGACAUCAGAAAAGUCUAACUCUUUCGACAUUAUUCACACUACUCCAAACAACAUCAUUUAGCACCACAUGAGCUAAGUAUUUUUGACAGCCUUUCGAAAACAAUCUCUCUUUGCUCUCACAGCAUAAAUAACAGCCUGACUCAAUCCAUUUUGCAUACUUACAAAAGUAAUCUCUGUUCAUCCAGAUCGAUGGAAAGUACUGGUUUCCCAUAACAUUUCGUCUUGUCACAAUUAUAACCAACCAAUCUAAUGGAAACAGAAUUAACUGAUACAAUAUAUAUUCAUUCCAAAUAAGUACAAUACUAACUAAAAUAAUAAAUCUCUACCGGUUGCCUUGCUUAACGCCACGAAUGAGUUGAGUUAUUAAUAUUACGGUUGCAGCCCGCAAUACUGAUAAAAUCAUCGUUGUCUCGAUAAGUAGGCAACCACUCACAAAGAUAUAACAUUACUAUUUUGUCACUCAAUGCAAAAUACAUACACACUCGUCUCAACUACAUUUAUUUACCACUCUCUAGGUAUUCAUACAUAAUAAUAAGAAAUAUAUCAUCCGAAGUCAACUAGAAUGACCAAUACGGAUUGAUUCUUUUCUCUCAAUAAUACGUCGGCCGGAUCCACUCGCGCGUGGUCGGCACGGCCGAGCCUAUAACUCACCAAUUUCUCAUGUGUCAGUCAAAUCCAUUUCUUCAUGGGUCCGUACGGCUGAAACAUAUAACUCAUCAAAUAUCUCUGUACUCACGGUCAAUCCGACCAAACUACUAAAUCCAUAACUCUGCUGAAUCGACACUAUGAUUUCAUGGAAAAUUGUUGAGUACAACUGAUUCUAGGGACGAUUCACAACUCUGUGUCCCUUCUGUUCACAUAAACACAUUCAUUAAUUUCACAUUUCCCAAAGUGUUACUUUUGUACCUGCUGCACAAAGUACAUUUCCUUUACUCGAGACACCUUGUCUCAAAUAUCUGGGAUUACCAGUAUAUCCAUCACUUUUACUCUGACCAGCGACAUUAAAACCUCAGCUGGAAGAAUUAACUCUAGCUUCACUUCUUUCGAAGCUCUGAAUCCUUCGAUAUUCUUGAUAUGACGAAUCAUUAACUUUAUUGUCUUCUUUUAAUUCCUCUUUACUCUCGUUGAUCAUGUUCUCAGAGUCCUCAAGGCUCAACACAACAUCUCGUAUAUUCCUGGUAAAAGUAUAAUGGAUAGUGGUCACCCAAAAUACCACUUCCCUUUUUGCCACCCAGCUUAAAAUAUAUCAUACCUUACAAUACAACAAGAUGUCUGGAGGAUAAACUUUUCCUCGAAAACAAGUUUCCUUAAACAAUUUAAAAAUCAGCUGAUUCUCUUGUGACAACAAUUAAUAAUCCUGUUUUCCACCAGGAUACAAAUUCAUACCCAAACCAGGUAAUCGUCUCGACCCCCUGUCAGAAGGAAGAUUCCUUUGACUUGCAUAAUCUGAAACAUCUUUACCAAAUGGUUUAAACGUUUACUCGCUCCCUCAGGUUUCAUCAUUUCAUAAGGUGAUUCAAAUUCAACUCAUACCCCGUCUUAAAAUGUCCAUUUUGAUAAUAUACUGAAUCACCAUAAUAAUAGUUUCCCCCAAACCGCUAAAGGGAGAGCUAAAUUCCUCUAACUACGUGGUUUGCUACGAGGCGGUGUAGUUCUGACAGAAUUCACUAGAAACUUCUCAAGAUGUCCAAGAUUGCAACCAUGCUCUGAUACCAACUGACACACCCCGUCCCGAAGGAGGGCAUGCUGGCCGUCACGUGAGAGUGACGUAACCAUUUACACAGUACGGAAGCUUUAAAUAUACAAUUUCUAAGAUGAAACACCCAAAGGUGAGACCUAAUUUUGUGAAUUCUGUCAGAAUACCGUUGGAUUCCUCGUGGCCACCAAAACUCUGCUAUCAAGAACCUGGAGGGGCGAAAAACAAAAUUGAGUGGGUCAGUAAAACCAAUCUUUUCCAAAUCCAAACAUUUCUCAAAACGUUGUAACCCCUCUCUGUAAAACAUGUAUACUUUCCCAGAAAUGUAAAAUAUAAUUAUACAUAUAUAUUCUCAAUACUUCAACUCAUUACUCCACAUUUUUCAGUACAAAUAUGACAUGCCAUAUCGGAAUUCAUCAGUUAAGUAUGAAUGCAUCAACAGUAAUUAUAUCAGGUGCAAGAAGUAAUCAACCGGAGGCCCUCUAAUAGCCCUGUACGGUUGAACCUAGAGCUCAAAAUCUAUCACUCUCACUCUGCCGGAGUCACCUCUGUGACCUGUACGGCCUUCUGCACACAAGUUACGCUCUAGUGCUUCUCUCAUCAAUCAUCUGUGCACAUAAUCUAAGGUCACCUACCAGUCGGAAUCCCUCUAACGGUCUGUACGACUGGCAUGUCGGAACCACCCCCGGUGGUCUGUACGACUAGCAUCUACUUGGAUCCAAGGCGAGCGUGCGAUGCGGUGAAUACUAUAAGCACUAAACUAUGGUGCAGGAUUUGAGCUCAAUAUACAUCAACAUCAUCAUAACAGUAAUUAAAUACUCACCUGAUAUUCACCUGUGCGUCCGCCGCACCAUUCAUUCAUAUGCAUCAUAUCUCAAUUCAUGCUUUUCAUAUCAUUUCAUGCAUGGCAAUUCGAUUCACAUUUCUAUAUACUUUUCAUAUACUUUUAUGCAUAGCAUCUCAAUUCAUAUUUUUCGUAUAAUUCUAUAUACUUUUCGCAUACUUCUAUGCAUGGCAUUUCAACUAAUAUAUCUCAUAUACUUUUAUACAUUUUCAUUUAAAAGCAUAAUUUCAUGCAUUUUCAAUUUCUGGGAAAACGGCAAGUAUAUAUGUAUACGGAAAACAAAACUGCCCACUCACCUGGAGUUCAUCCAACAACUCCCUAGCACCACACAUCAAGGCGUCACGACGAUCGCCGCCUAGAAUAGUAAUCAAAUCCAACCUCAGAAUUCAUAUCGAUAGAAUAUUUAACUUAUAUAAAAUACGUCACUACGUAGUUCGAUCCGGAAGAUCUGCCACUCAGAUUUUAAAUCCAUAACUUCCAAAGGUCCACAUUAUACCUCUAGGACAACAUCCUAAAAUUUCA
rnacentral:lncRNA from 1 species